UACAGAGGUCCCGAGCGUUGUUCGGAUUCAUUGGGCGUAAAGGGUGCGUAGGCGGGUCUUUAAGUCAGGGGUGAAAUCCUGGAGCUCAACUCCAGAACUGCCUUUGAUACUGAAGAUCUUGAGUUCGGGAGAGGUGAGUGGAACUGCGAGUGUAGAGGUGAAAUUCGUAGAUAUUCGCAAGAACACCAGUGGCGAAGGCGGCCCACUGGAUCGGUACUGACGCUGAGGUGCGAAAGCGUGGGGAGCAAACAGG
rnacentral:rRNA from 1 species